UACGAAGGGGGCUAGCGUUGUUCGGAUUUACUGGGCGUAAAGCGCACGUAGGCGGAUCGUUAAGUCGGGGGGUGAAAUCCUGGAGCUCAACUCCAGAACUGCCUUCGAUACUGGCGAUCUCGAGUCCGGAAGAGGUGAGUGGAACUCCUAGUGUAGAGGUGGAAUUCGUAGAUAUUAGGAAGAACACCAGUGGCGAAGGCGGCUCACUGGUCCGGUACUGACGCUGAGGUGCGAAAGCGUGGGGAGCAAACAGG
rnacentral:rRNA from 1 species